rnacentral:lncRNA from 1 species
UUCUUUUUCGUGUAUACAAAAUUUUUCAUAAUUACCUCACGUAUAUAAAAAAUUUAGAAUUAAUUACCUCAUUUUUCUCCCUCGCCUCCAUGUUCCUUUAUAUUUCUCAAAUUUUAUGUCAUGCAUAUUUAUUGAUAGUCCUAAAACUUAAUCAUAACUAAGGCCAAAUAACGAAUAUGUUUCAAUUAUUAAAAUUUAUUUAGCUAUCGGUGUAUGUUGGUUGCUUUGUAUUGCUUUACAUGUGAUUAAUGAAAAUAAUUCAAUUAUAAAUUAAGAAACUUAAUUAAUAAUUCGUAAAUUUUCAACUACAAAUUAUUCAUUUGAACUAAAAGGAAUUAUAGACUUAAAAAUUGAAAUUAAGAGGCAUUAUAUGUAGAUAUUGAAAUAAGAUAAUAAACAUAUUAUUAUAUUUUUAAUCAUUAAUUAAAAAUAAAAAGAAAGAUAAAAUCAAUGCAUAAUUGUCCAAGCUCUUGCCGAUAUCCACUUCCACAAGUCUUCAACCAUUUAAUAGCAUCUUCUUCUUUUUCAAGUGAAAUAAAAACAUAAAUAUCAUAGUGAAAAUGAAGGAUAACCUUCGGUAAAAUCGCAUGAAAUAAAAUAUAUGAACUUCUAUAGAAAGAAAGACGAAAUGAAUACAUUAAUGUCCCGGUAUAUACUUCCAUAAGCCUAAAAAAUCAAUUAUAAAUUAAGAAACUUAAUUAAUAAUUAGGAAACUUCCAACUACAAAGUUAUUCAUUUAACCAAAAUAAAUUAUAGACUUAAAAAUUGAAAUUAAGAGGCAUCAUAUAUAGAUAUAAAAAUAAGACGAUAUACAUAUUAUUAUAUUUUUAAUCAUUAGUUGAAAAAUAAAAAGAAAUUUGAAAUCAAAUUUUCGAGCUCUUGCUGAUAUCCACUUCCAUAAGCCUUUCACCAUUUAAGAGCAUCUUCUUCUUUUUUAAGUGAAAUGAAAACAUAAACAUCAUAGUGAAAAUGAAGAAUAACCUUGGGUAAAAUUGCAUGAAAUAAAACAUAUGAAAUUCUAUAGAAAGAAAAAACGGAAUGAAUACAUAAAUAUCUCGAUAUCUACUUCCACAAGCCUAUCACCAUUCAAAAGUCGUAACUCAUUAAGAAAAGAACAAGAAGAGAUAAUUAACAGCAUUAAUAAUCUCAAACUAGAUAUAAACUAUAGUACAAUUAGAAUAGAUUAUUAUACAAAAUUUUAUAAAACUGCAACUACUUUAGAAUGAAUAAUGAAUCAAAUAUGAAAUUAAUGUCUAACAAAAAUAGAUCCAUCAUAGUUAUAAUAGAUCUAUUUAAGUCAUCCUUAUUCGCUAAGUUAUCUGCACCCCCUAAUAAUUGGUAUCAGAGCUAUGUUAUUUAAAGUUAUAGAAGUAAUAUAUAUUUGGAUAUGGAUUUAUUUGAUUAAUUUAUUAAGUAGUAUAUUUGAUUAAUUAUAAGAAGACCAUUUAAAGACAGAAAUUUUUUUAGAAAAAUUAAAGAAGCCCUAAUUAGUAAUUAUUCAGAAUAUAAAAGUCUAAAUAAAAUAAAAGAAGACCCUCAUAGACUAGCCUACCUAAUUACUUUAAUAUCUAGUAUAGAAGCAAAAUUAACAAUCCAUUUAAAAUCUAUAAGAAUGAGACACAUACCAUCUAAUUAUGAUAAAAUCAGAUUUAGGUGUCCACCAAAAAAUCAUAAAUAUUGUUUAGAUGAAUAACGUACAAAAAUAUAAAGAAUUAAAAUAAAUAAUAUCUAAAAACAUAAGGAAUUAAAAAUAAGAAAAUAAAUAUUACAAUAUAAUAUAAUUGCUGGAGUUAGUAAAAAAUCAAUAAAUGCACAAAAAGAAGAAAUAUCAUAUUUAGAAUCAUUAAUAGAUAGUCUAGAAUACACAUACCAACAUGAUCUAUUCACUAUUAAAUAAAUAAAAAAUGAACAAAGAAGAAUUUAUAAUAGAUGAAAAAAUAUAUGAAAAUCAUGAAGGAUUAAAAAUAAAGAUAAUAUUUUCUAAUCUAUGAAGAAGAUAUAAGAAAAUAGGUAAACAUUUAUACUUAAUGCUAGAAAAAGAAGAAUUAAAAUUAGAAGAUAAAUUAACAACCAUGGUAAGAAUAGCAAAAGAAAAUGAGGAAAUUGACAGGAAAAAGGAAAUAGAUAAAAUAAAAC